GCCUCUAUGGCUCAGUGGUAGAGCGCAUCACUAGUAAUGAUGAGGUCCACGGUUCGAUCCCGUGUAGAGGCA
rfam:Aspergillus brasiliensis CBS 101740 unplaced genomic scaffold ASPBRscaffold_3, whole genome shotgun sequence.